rnacentral:rRNA from 1 species
CCCUUAGAUGUUCUGGACCGCACGCGCGCUACACUGACUGGUGCAACAAGCAUCCGUCCUUGGCCGACAGGCCCGGGCAAUCUUUGAACGCCGGUCGUGAUGGGGAUAGACCUUUGCAAUUUUUGGUCUUCAACGAGGAAUUCCUAGUAAACGCAAGUCAUCAACUUGCAUUGAUUACGUCCCUGCCCUUUGUACACACCGCCCGUCGCACCUACCGAUUGAAUGGUCCGGUGAAUAAUUCGGACUGCAGCACUGCUUGGUCUCCAGGCUUUGCAGCGGAAAGUUUAGUGAACCUUAUCACUUAGAGGAAGGAGAANUCGUANCA